UGAUAACAAUGAAGCAAAAGGUUGCGGGCCUUUGUGGCCCGGGAAUUUUUGCGGAGUAGUCUGAAAAUCAGGCGA
rfam:Dethiobacter alkaliphilus AHT 1 ctg30, whole genome shotgun sequence.